rnacentral:rRNA from 1 species
UACGAAGGGGGCUAGCGUUGUUCGGAAUCACUGGGCGUAAAGCGCGCGCAGGCGGUCUUUUAAGUCUGAUGUGAAAGCCCUCGGCUCAACCGAGGAGGGUCAUUGGAAACUGGGGGACUUGAGUGCAGAAGAGGAAAGUGGAAUUCCAAGUGUAGCGGUGAAAUGCGUAGAGAUUUGGAGGAACACCAGUGGCGAAGGCGACUUUCUGGUCUGUAACUGACGCUGAGGCGCGAAAGCGUGGGGAGCAAACAGG